ACACAAACUCUCAUCGUCUAAAUUUCGCUCAAAUGUGUCUAUAAAUUGAGGAGCAAAUCCAGCACAAACUCUCAUCGUCUAAAUUUCAAUCUCCAGUAGUAUGGGUGGAAAAGUAAUUACUUUUCUUGAAUAUUUGCUAUUCUUGAUUCUCAUAAUGUUCCCUCAGGUAGCUGUUUCCCGCCCAAGUAUUUGGUACAACCCAAAUGCUCCUCGGAAUAUGGGGAACUUGUACCCGGGAAAUUGCUAUAUCUACUGCGGCCGCCCAUGCUACAACCCCUACGGCUGCAACUAGCCUGACGUGGCCCGUCCUUGAGAAUUCAAGGCUGAACAAGAAAAGUUGGCAAUGUUUGAAUGACAAUUAUUAAAUAAUUUUCAAACAUUUUAUUCACACUUUAGUAAAGGUACUCAUGAUUAUUUCAGUAUGUCAUAUAUAUUUUGCUUCGAGCUAUUGAAAAGUUUAUGAGAGCACAUUUGAUUAUCAUGACAAUUUUUUUUUUGGAUAGUGGAUGAAAUAGUAGUUUGACGUUGUCCGCAUUAUUUCAAGUCCACACAUAUUGAUUUUUUUGGUCAUUCCCAAAAAGUAUUAAACUUAUUAGGGUUAGAUGGAAAUGAUAUACAUCUUCCAACUUCUCGUAGACUCCAAUGUGGGAUUAGUUUAUAAUUAACAAACCUCCCCUCAAUCUAGAUCACUCACAUCGGGAACAUAAUAUGUAGUUGACACAUCGAGACAUUACGGGCCCGACUCGAACUUGAGUCAUCAUAGGCCCCACUCGACCUAGCUCUGAUACUACUUGUUCAGAUCGUUGACUGCAACAGUAGUUUGAUAUUUGCGGCAAACGCAGUCGACGCCCGACUCAAGCUUGAGUCAUCUUAGGGCACACCCGACCUGGCUCUAAUACCACCUGUUCAUAUUGUCAACUCGAGUUUGAGUCAUCCUAGGGCACACAAUCACAUUGGGAACAUAAUACGUAGUCGACACAUCAAGACAUUACAGGUCCGACUCGAACUUGAGUCAUCCUAGGCCUCACUCGACCUAGCUCGGAUACUACUUGUUCAGAUCGUCGACUGCAACAGUAGUUUAAUAUUGUCCGCUUUGGGUCCAACCCACACGGAUUUUUUUAUAGGUCACUCCCGAAAGGCAAACGUAGUUGACGCCCGACUCGAGCUUGAGUCAUCCUGGGGCACACUCGACCUGGCUCUGAUACCACUUGUUCAUAUUGUCAGCUGCAACAUACGUUUGAUAUGGAUUAUAUACACAUUCCAACUUCCCUCACAUCCCCGAGGUGAGAUGUGAUUGUAUUCAACAUUUCUACAUUGUAGUAUUGCGUGACACGUUUGCUGACAAUCAAUCUUUACUUGGGUGUUGAUGAACAUGUCAUUAUAUGUCAUUUAUAUUACUCCUUCCGUCAAACUUCUACUUGGGUGUUAGACGACGGACCGCUGACAGAUAGGCAAUUGUUAUAGAAAGUAAAAGGAUUGCAAUAUGUUUUGUUGUUUUGAUUCGCCGUUAGGUGCUCCAGGCAUAUUACUAGAGUAUUUCUGGUAGGAUAUAAUUUAUUCCUAGCCAAAGUAAUUGUGUAUCAAUCACCCACUAAGAACAUAUCUUUGCCUUCUUUAUCUUGCGUCUUCUUGUGUAAGUCUUCCUGACACUCCUCCUCAAGUUGAGCAAUGGCAUCUCUGAUGCUUAACUUGCAUAAGACUUUCUUGAACACCUUUGGAUUUACAGCCUUUGUGAGGAUAUCUGCAAGUUGAUCUUCUGAUGUGACAAAGGAAAACUCUAUAACUCCUCCUUUGAUUUUCUCUUUGAUAAAAUAGCGAUCCACUACGACAUGUUUCGUCUUGUCAUGUUGGACUGAGUUUAUGAAAUACUUAUUGUUGCCUUGUUGUCACAGAAUAACUGACUUUUCUGUCGCCUUAGCCAUAGGAUCUCCGUUAAACCACUCUUAAUUCUUUGGAAUUCAGAUUCGGCGCUCGAUAAUGCUACUAUCUUCCGCUUCUUAGUUUUCCAUGUAACCAAAUUUCCUCCAAUGAAGAUAAAGUACGCUCUAGUAGAUUUCUGGUCUA